GAAAUACGUGGUCAACUAACGAAAGACCGUCAUCAAUUCACUGAUUUUCUAGAGAAAACAAAACGGGCCAAUCAUUCGGUAUUUGAUACCAAUGUGGGUUAAAUUCAACGAGUAUGUUACAAAAAGUGCAAAUAACCGUUUUUCUCUAUGCAAGUCAUGAUCCAAAUCAGUGUUAAAGAACGUGAAUCAUAAAGACUAACCAUGAAAAUUAAUCAAUUGGUAGAAUUCAUCCAAACUGAUCUAAGUUAAGAGGUUGACUGAAAGAAAUAAAUGGUUGACUCAUGAUGUCAGGUCCAAGGAGACAGAUUCAAGAGGUAGAUCAGCGUUUCACCAAAAUGGUAGACCUUAUAUUCAGACAGACCAAAGGUCAGUCUAAGACAGUUAUGGUGGUAAGAUGAAAAAAAAACAAAGGGAAAAACCAGUGUGGUGACUGAAAAAACACAUGAAGAUGAAGAUCCCCAUUAGUAUUCUCAUUCCUCAAGAUAAACUUUUAUUUUAGUCUAAGCCUAUCUUAAGGAAGAGUGUUGGAAUGAGAAUAAUCAAUCAUCAGGAAGAGCUAAAUCGAGUUGAUAUGAAGAAAAGAUCGUCGAGUGAAUCACAUAAAAAGAAAAAAAAAUAGGAUAUCAGGAUAUUCAGCGUAACGAGAGAGGAAGGGAAAAAGAGAAAAAUAUAAAAGAGUAAGGAACCAUUGAUGUAUUUCCAGAUACGAAACCAUCUAAACUGUAUCAGAUUGAGUAUUCAAUUCUCAAAUAUUUAAAUCUUCCUCAUCCCACUGCAAAGGUAAUAUAUGUGAUUUACUGGCCAUGCGUUACCUAUUAAAGCAACAUGUCAUUAAACAAGAGAAUCAGAAGCCAGAAGAUUUCUCUCUAUGGCAUAGCCAUAAGCUGGCAAAUCUCUGUGGUCACUAUCAACUAGACCAAGGCGCAUGUUUAUUCUAGCAUAUCCUCAAGUCUAUUCUCUGACUUUCUAGCCACGAUCUCUUGCUCAUAAGUAGAACAAUACUAUGCUCAUGAAGCACAUCAUGCAGCAUGUUUACCAUCUGGUCCAGGCCCAUGCGCCUUCUAAACCAAAUGAUAUCAAUCAACACCAGAGUCACAUGUGACAUGCCUACAAGGUAAUGUGUCCACCAGGCCACAUGCUCACAAGGUUACAUGCUUUUGUAAGGUUUAUCACAAUUUAGGCAAUGUGCCCGCUUAGUCCAUGCGCGGAUGCGCCCAAUAAGUUAAAAGACUCAUGUCAAUCUCAAGGUCAUAUGCCCUUGCACCAGAACGCUAUUAGCAAGUUUCUUUAAUGGCUCAGGUCACGACAUCUUGAAUGAUAAGUGAGACAAUGUCAUGCUCCCGAUACUACAAGGAACUACUACCUUUUUUUUGUCAUGACUACAUGGAACUACUACAAGACACAAUUUUAGGUCACUGGACAAGAGAAAAUAAUAGUUAUUCUCCACCUUCAAACAUGAACGCAGUAAAUAUGAAGAAAAUUGUUGGACAUAAAUUAAAUCAUGAGCAAUCCUAUUGGAUUAGAGCAUGACUUCGAUCUCCAACCUCUUGGUCUCUAUCUUCCAGUCUCUGAAUCAAGAGUGUUUUAUUUAUGCCUCUUGGUUUAAAAAGAAAACUUACCGAUAAAAAUAAAUCUUCUAAUAUUUCUGGAUAUAGUCAAAACCACUUUAAAUCUCACUGAUUAUCUCCUAUAUAAACAAACUUAAUUUCCCAAGAGGAAAGACUGCUCAUUGACUCAACUCUUGUUUAAAAAUCAAUGUUCGACGAGCUAUUUCCCUACGACAAGUAUUGUCUUCCGAACUAUUACUUCAACCCGAGAAAAAAAUUUCAAACUUAUUUCCCUACGAAUAUCGGUUUAGACAGUAUUCGGUAUAAUCACUUGCCCAAACCGUAAAAUACAGAAAUAUAACUGGAAAACUGGUUUGAAGUAACUUUUUACCAAAUUAUACCGACCCAUAAACUAUGCUUUAAGAUCCCAAAUCAAAGACAAGUUUAAACGCUAAAAUUCAUUUUCAAAAUUUGAUUGUCUGAAUCUCUGAUUUCCGAAAGCUGCAGUAAUGGUGAUGUCUGGGCUGCAAAUUCUGCUUCUAGAGCUUCGAUUGGGUUAAAAUUUCGAGGAUAAUCUGUCAGAAGAUACUUCCGACAAACGCCAUUGAUCUCCGACAACAACUUCAAGCUUCUCUCUCAAGCUUCAAUUUUGAUUUUUGUCUCAGUUGUAUCUCUGAUAUUUGGGAAAAUUUUGUUAGAAGUUAUUGAUUCUUUAAAACACAGACAACAAGUUUCACUUGCUCUGUUACGUAAACAAAAACAGAGUAACUGAAAUUUCUUAUCUAAUAGAAUCCCGUCGGCAAAGAUCGCCCAUAAAUAAAUCUAAUAGAAUCCCUUACUUUGGUAUCUUCAACAUCCAUCGUCAUUUUCAAUCACAGGAAUGCUGAAUCGAGCUGGUACAUGGACGAGCCGGUGAUGAUGAAGAAACGUGUGGAUCAAGGAAAGCUUAAUAUUAUUGCAAUCUUCUACAAAGUGUGUGCAAGAGACGUCAAGAAACAGACAUGUGAGUUUGGUGAAAACUUUUGGAAGCUAGCGAGAGCUUCUAGUGGAGAUCAAGUUGUGGAAAGAAUGUGUCUCCAACAAGAUUUGUCGUUCAAAGACAAGAGUUUAAUUGAGUUAGUCGGGUCUUCUAUUGGUUUACAUCCAGACAGUGGCGGAGCCACCUUGUUACGAGGAGGGUCAACUGACCCAUGUGAUUUUUGACAAAUUUUGUUUUUAUGCUUAUACAAUUUGCAUUUGAUAGACAAUUUGGUAUUAUGUAUGUACGUACGAUUGACCCUCAUGAUCUAAGUCUAAACAUCCUAUUUGCACCUGUUCAAUAAAAUUUUACGUUUGAUCAUUUGAUCACAUGAGCAUUGAUCCUUGUGAAACACAAUUCUACCUCCGCCACUGUAUCCAGAUUUAUUAAAUUUCGGGUUAACUUAUGUACAUUAAACAAGAGUAAUCCAAUUUAUGAGUUUAGAGGUUUCAAACUUUGAUUUUAUGGAGAAAUAAGUAUUCAACUUUUAUUAUAUAGGGAAAUAAGUCGGAAACUUUUAUUUUGGAGAUAUAUAGAAUGAGGCAAUAGUUCGAGAGACAUUUAAUGCUAUACGAUAGUUCUCGUGUAGAAAUAGAUCGUUGACCCAAAAAUCAAUAAAACAACUCUUCAUCUUCAUUUUGUGACCACUUAAAACGUUUCGGGUGGCUGGACUCGAACCCAGCUGAUAGUAAAACGUGGAUUAUGUGGAUCUCGUGGUAAUUCAUCCUUGCGUAAAGCUUUUGGAAUCACGCCACGGUUAUGAAAAAAAAAAUAGCAUUAAACGCAGAUGUACUUUCUAACCGAAAGAUACAUAUACUAUUUUAUGAGAUCUACCAAAGAGUUAUUCAAUAUUCUGUUUAACAAAUAAGAUGAAAGAUAAUUAAUUUGGAACCAAAGGUUUGUUCAUCAUGAGUUAUUCUCGGGUUCACCCUUAUGGUGAACACCAACCAAUAGAAAUUAGUUAUUUCAUAUUCAGUAUCUUUAAAAAAAAAAUCAAAAUAUUAUCAAUUUAUAUCAUAAUUUAAAAAAAAAAAUAGUA